AGUGCAAAAAUCAGUAUGAUUAAAAUGCUUCGGAAAACAUCCCAAAGGAUAAAAAUUGUAAGAGGGGUAGAUGUUUCUAAGUUUUCGAUUACAUUAUAAUAAGAAGAAUUGAAAAGUAUUAAAUGAGGUGAAAUGACGAAGGUAACGAAAGAAAAACAGUGCAAAAAUUAACAUGAUUAAAAUGAACUUUAAAAUUUACCAUAAAGAAUAAUAAAUAUUAAUAAAAUCUCAAAAAUGAAGUUAACUGUCCCUGGGUGAAGACUGGUCACCACGCUACCAUGUGUGAGGAACAACACUCGCCUUGGGUUAGAGAGAUGAGGCAGUUUUCAGCUGUUAUUGUGUGUAAAUAGUCAGCAUCACCUGGAGGAGUGGAGCAGCAGUUGUGGUGGUGGAGAUGAAGUGGUGCAGUGUUGAAGUUUUGGACUCGGCAUGACACAGCGCCUGGCGAAGCUGUAUGUAAGCUACAACACGAGCCAAUGUUACCUGGACGUCCAUUUGUAGGAGUACCAAACCCAAGACUGUCUCCUCCUUCUUGCCUUCCCUCUAUAUCUGACCCGGACACCAUGGCCCGGCAGCAACCCCAUUUCAUGAACUACAUGACGCUGGCUGACGUAUUCCUGACACGGCCGUAACAGGAGGCAGAGAGCAGGAGCAAGAGUCAGAUGGUGAAGGUAGGGGUGAUGGUGAAGGUGGAGGGGUGUCGGAGGGGCUUCGUGUAGGAGUACCUCGACAGGGUGUAUGAGCAGGUGCAAAUGAUGUUCAGCAAAGCCAAGACAUUCGCCAAGCAAACCAUCUAUGAGUGUGAGAGAAGUAAUCAUUGUAAAGAGGUGAAGAGCAGCACCAGCAGCAGCAGCAGCAUGGCAGAGCAGAGGCCCGAGUGGGGAUAGGAGGCGAACGGUGGAGGCAGAAGGCAUCCUAUCCAGCAAAAGAUAGGGUCACUUUUACCUCGCAAGACGAGUAUUGUGUGUGUGUGUAUUUAACUAGUUGUAUUGUGCAGGAUACAAGCCAAAGCUCAUCCACUUUCUAUUUCAACCUGUAUAUACUGUUGGCCACAACUACCUCUUCCUUCAAAUUAUUCCAGAUUUUAGUAGUUCAAUACAGAAAGCUGUAUUUCUUGAUGUCUCUUGAACAUCCGCUCUUCUUUAUUUUCUUUUCUUGCCCCCUCGUCUGUCUGUCUUCCUUCUCCGUCUAGGGUACCAAGUCAUUUUGGUCUAUUUUUUCUGUAUUGUUUACUAAUUUGUACAUUGUUAUCAUGUCUCCUCUUUCUCCUCUCUUUUAUAGUGUUGAUUAUCACAUCUCUUCAAAUCUUUUUUCAUAGCUUAGGUCUUGCAAUUCUGGUGCCAUCUUUGUUGCUGUCCUCUGUAUUGUUUUUUAGUUUCCAUAUAUUUUUACUUGUAUGGGGAGCCCAAACUAUUGCUGUGUAUUCCAGUUUAAAACGUAUCAUGCUUGCUAUAAUUUUCUUCAUCAUUUCUUUUCUAAAAUAGUUAAACACCACCCUAAUGUUUGUUAACAAGCUGUGUGCAGAACCGAAUAUCCCGUUUAUGUGUGUUUCAGGUGAUGGUGAGUGCGAGUGUGUGUAAGGGAGUGUGAGUGAUGUGUGCAAGGUGCCUCAGUCCCUGCAUGUGUGUAAUAGUGCGUCUUGCUCUAUCUGGGUUUCAUGACGUUGGAUUGCCAGCCUUCUGGUGUAGUGUAUGGAGAUGGAUGUGAUGUGUGUAGGGUGCCCCAGUCCCUGCACAUGUGUAGCAGUGUGUGUUGGUCUGUCUGGGCCUCAUGGUGUGGGAUUGUCAGCCUGCUGGUGUAGUGUCUGGAGAUGGAUUUGAUGUGUGCAAGGUCCCCCAGUCCCUGCGUAUGUGUAGCAGUGUGUGUUGCUCUGUCUGGGCCUCAUGGUGUGGGAUUGUCAGCCUGCUGGUGUAGUGUUUGGAGAUGGAUGUGAUGUGUGUAGUGUGUCUCAGUCCCUGGAUGUGUUUAGCAGUGUGUGGUGCUCUGUCUGGGACUCCUGGUGUGGGAUUGCCAGCCUGCUGGUAUAGUGUAUGGAGAUGGAGGUGAUGUGUACAGAGUGCCCCAGUCCCUGGAUGUAUGUAGCAAUAUGUGGUGCUCUGUCUGGGCCUCAUGGUGUGGGAUUGCCAGCCUGCUGGUGUAGUGUUUGGAGAUAGAUGUGAUGUGUGCUUGGACCCUCUGUCCCUGGAUGUGUGUAGCAGUGUGUGUUGCUCUGUCUGGGCCUCGUGGUGUGGGAUUGUCAGCCUUUUGGUGUUGUGUUUGGAGAUGAAUGUGAUGUGUGCAAGGUGCUCCAGUCCCUGAGUGUGUGUAGCAGUGUGUGUUUCUCUGUCUGGGCCUCAUGGUCCGGGAUUCUCAGCCUGCUAGGGUACUGUUUGGAGAUGGAUGUGAUGUGUGCAGGGUGUCCCAGUCCCUGGAUGUGUGUAGCAGUGUGUUUGUUGCUCUGUCUGGGCCUCAUGGUGUGAGAUUGGCAGGCUGGUGGUAUAGUGUAUGGAGAUGGAUGUGAUGUGUGCUGGUUGCCUCUGUCCCUGGAUGUGUGUAGCAGUGUGUGUUGCUCUUUCUGGGCCUCACGGUGUGGGAUUGUCAUCCUGCUGGUGUAGUGGUUGGAGAUGGAUGUAAUGUGUGCAAGGUGCCCCAGUCCCUGUGUGUGUGUAGUAGUGUGUGUUGCUCUGUCUGUGCUUCAUGGUGUGUGAUUGUCAUCCUGCUAGUGUAGUGUUUGGAGAUGGAUUUGAUGUGUGCAGGGUGCCUCAGUCCCUGGAUAUGUUUAGCAGUGUGUGGUGCUCUGUCUGGGCCUCAUGGUAUGGGAUUACCAGCCUGCUGGUAUAGUGUUUGGAGAUGGAUACAUAAUUCAAGACUGUUUAUCAUAUGCAUUAUUUUCUUUAUUUUUUUAUUUACUAUUAUCAUAUUUAUUUUUUGAUUAUUAAUGGGAUGCUUGUGUAGUGCAUUAAGAUGGAUAUGAUGUUUGCAAGGUACCCCAAUCCCUGUAUGUGUGUAACAGUGUGUGUUGCUCUGUCUGGGCCUCAUGGUGUGGGAUUGUCAGCCUUCUGGUGUAGUGUAUGGAGACUGAUGUGAUGUGUGCAAGGUGCCCCAGUCCCUGCUUGUGUGUUGCUCUCUCUGGGCCUCAUGGUGUGGGAUUGCCAGCCUGCUGGUGUAGUGUAGUAGUGUUUGGAGAUGGAUAUGUUUAUCAUAUGCAUUAUUUAUUAUUAUUUAUUUAUUUACUAUCAUAAUUUUUUUCAUUUUUAAAGGGGAGUACAUUUCCAUUCUCACCUUUUCAAUCCUUUGUGUUUGGGACUCAGUAGUUAGUGCUGCUACUGACAAAAAAAACGGGAGAUAUGGUCUUGCUUCUUUACUGUGGAAAACUGUCCUGGUGAGUGUGACGUGCUGAUUGAUCUUGUGGGUCACAGGUCUCGCCUUCUGUCACCAAACAAACAAUAAAGAAUUGAUAUUAUUUCGUGAA